rnacentral:rRNA from 1 species
CGAAGGGCUAGCGUUGUUCGGAAUUACUGGGCGUAAAGCGCACGUAGGCGGAUAUUUAAGUCAGGGGUGAAAUCCCAGAGCUCAACUCUGGAACUGCCUUUGAUACUGGGUAUCUUGAGUAUGGAAGAGGUGAGUGGAAUUCCGAGUGUAGAGGUGAAAUUCGUAGAUAUUCGGAGGAACACCAGUGGCGAAGGCGGCUCACUGGUCCAUUACUGACGCUGAGGUGCGAAAGCGUGGGAGCAAACAGGAUU